AAAAUGUAGCUUAAUUAAAGCAUCUGGCCUACACCCAGAAGAUUUCAGUAAAACCGACCAUUUUGA
rnacentral:tRNA from 1 species